ACUUUACUCACCCUUUAGCCAGUUGAUGGUAUUGUUUAAUCCGUUAGCAAAUCAAAUUCCACAACUGCAAAAAAAGUAGAAUAUCAAUUAAGGAAUAUUCACUCGACACAAAAGACCAGCGCUGCUUCGAAAUCACGCAAAACCACUAAAGACUUUGAUUACCAAAGACAAAAGGGAAAAUGACAUGAAAAACCAAGGGCCAUGGGCAAAAGUGAACAGGGUACAUGAAAAAUCAAACUAAAACCCACUUAUACUGGCAGACGUGAUUUCGUUAAUAUUCAAAACUGGUGCUAUAGUGUUUGCCUGGAAUCGAUAGCGAAAAGAAAUUGAUCAUCGGGCCGAAUGACAUUGACUGAAACUUACACAGUGGCGCGAAUCAACUAUCCACACACACGGGCAAGAAAUCGCAUUAAUUUUGCUUUUUUUUUUUAAUAUGAACUCAUUAAAAUAUAACGGGGUGUUUUAUCCAGUUGUUCGACGAUUGUAGAGACAAAGAGGUGGAUCCAAUUAAUAACGUUUCUUGGCGUCAAUAAGAUCCCCUCACUUUAUGAAUAACAAGGCACUCGCUUCACGUGCGUGAUAUGAAAGAAGACUAUUUCCUUUACUGGCAGUGAAGGUAUUUGGUCAGAGAUCGAUUUCGAAUUUCCGGAAAACUUCAUCUUUAGGAUAUUGACUUUAGUAUGCGGUGAUAAUAGGAAUUAGGAAUCAAAAACAAGAAAAACGCAGAAAAGGCAAUUAAAAAGAUAAUGAUUUGAUUGAUAUAUGUAUUAAACACCGAGUCCGUGCGCAAUUAAACUAGCGAUGAUGAAUUUGAGUUCCAAUAUGUGGUCAUAAAAGAAGGUGUAAAAUAGGCGGACUACUGAUUGUAACUUUUUUCUAAUUUAAAGCUUCGAUAAUUUUCCGGUUGAUAUUUUGCUGCGGUGUCUUAAGGGAAAUUUCAUUGGAUAUUGCUUAAUGUUACAACUGAAAAAUUGCUAAUAACAAAAAGAGAAAAGGAAAUGUGGAAAUAUUAACAUCAGAAAUGUUUUAACGUAUGAGACUUAGAUAAUGUAGUCGCUUAUUAUGCAUCAAGAUAUGUUUGGCUUUACAUUUUUUUCUCAUAUUACAUAUAUUUCAUGUACAUUUCGAUCAUCUGUUUUAUUUUUAUGUAAAUGUAUCUUGUAAAAGCAAUAGUACAAUUUUCUACUCUUUAGCAGUUUAAUGUUCUCCCAUCUAGAUCACAUAAAUUCAAGAAAUGAU
rnacentral:sRNA from 1 species